CCCAAACCCCUGGAGGUGUCCGCCCGUCCUACCCCACCACGAGGGCUAGUCAUGUCCAGGUUCUCUGUGUGUCCAUAGGCUCCUCUGGGCCUCAGUUUCCACAUUUGUGUCAUGAGGAAAAUGUCAUCUGCCUACCUCAGAGGACCACCGCAAAAGUGAGAUCAUGGACAGAAAGCACAUGACACCUGGUAGAUCCUGCCAUAAUUGACUGAUGGAAAAAUAGACUCAUGGGUCUGACAUCACCCCCAUAAACCAACACUUGAAUAAUUCAACCUAUCAGAGCCCUGGUUCUUGUCCAGAAAAAUUCCAGCCCCAAAGCAAAAGAUUUCUCUGGAGGGAAAUGCUCACCCACAAACAGGCUCCUCUGGGCCUCAGUUUCCACAUUUGUGUCAUGAGGAAAAUGUCAUCUGCCUACCUCAGAGGACCACUGCACAAAUGAGAUCAUGGACAGAAAGCAC